rnacentral:rRNA from 1 species
UACGUAGGGUGCGAACGCUGUUCGGAAUCACUGGGCAUAAAGAGCGCGUAGGCGGUCCAAUCAGUCAGGUGUGAAAUCCCCCGACUUAACCGGGGAACUGCACCUGAUACUGUUGGGCUUGAGUGCAGGAGGGGAGAGCGGAAUUCCUGGUGGAGCGGUGAAAUGCGUAGAUAUCAGGAGGAACGCCGGCGGCGAAAGCGGCUCUCUGGCCUGUAACUGACGCUGAGGCGCGAAAGCUAGGGGAGCAAACGGG